rnacentral:rRNA from 1 species
GAUGAACGCUGGCGGCGUGCCUAAUACAUGCAAGUCGAGCGAACGGACGAGAAGCUUGCUUCUCUGAUGUUAGCGGCGGACGGGUGAGUAACACGUGGAUAACCUACCUAUAAGACUGGGAUAACUUCGGGAAACCGGAGCUAAUACCGGAUGAUAUUUUGAACCGCAUGGUUCAAAAGUGAAAGACGGUCUUGCUGUCACUUAUAGAUGGAUCCGCGCUGCAUUAGCUAGUUGGUAAGGUACCGGCUUACCAAGGCAACGAUGCAUAGCCGACCUGAGAGGGUGAUCGGCCACACUGGAACUGAGACACGGUCCAGACUCCUACGGGAGGCAGCAGUAGGGAAUCUUCCGCAAAGGGCGAAAGCCUGACGGAGCAACGCCGCGUGAGUGAUGAAGGUCUUCGGAUCGUAAAACUCUGUUAUUAGGGAAGAACAUAUGUGUAAGUAACUGUGCACAUCUUGACGGUACCUAAUCAGAAAGCCACGGCUAACUACGUG